rnacentral:rRNA from 1 species
CCCUUAGAUGUUCUGGGCAGCACGCGCGCUACAAUGGUCUUCGCAAACGGAUGCAUUCUCGAAGGAGAAUGCCAAUCUUGGAAUCUAUGCCUUGGUCGGGACAGUUGCUUGCAAUUUUUCGACCCGAACCAGGAAUUCCUUGUAAUCGUGAUUCAUCACAUCACGAUGAAUACGUCCCUGCCCUUUGUACACACCGCCCGUCGCUCCUACCGAUCGAAGAGUUAGGUGAAUUGUUUUGAUCGAUAAGAUUUGACUAUGGUCAACUCUCGUUGUGAAAUUCUGUGAAUCUGACUGUUUAGAGGAAGGAAAAGUCGUAACA